rnacentral:rRNA from 1 species
GAUGAACGCUAGCGACAGGCCUAACACAUGCAAGUCGAGGGGCAGCACAUGAGUAGCAAUACGAUGGUGGCGACCGGCGCACGGGUGAGUAACGCGUAUGCAACCUACCCAUUACAGGGGAAUAACUCUCGGAAACGGGAACUAAUACCGCAUAAUACUAUUAGACCGCAUGGUUUAAUAGUUAAAGAUUUAUUGGUAAUGGAUGGGCAUGCGUGACAUUAGUUAGUUGGUAGGGUAACGGCCUACCAAGACUACGAUGUCUAGGGGGUCUGAGAGGAAGCGCCCCAAAACUGGUAGUGGGAAGCGGACCAGACUCCUACGGGAGGGAGAAGUGAGGAAUAUUGGUCAAUGGGCGAGAGCCUGAACCAGCCAAGUCGCGUGCAGGGUGACUGCCUUAUGGGUUGUAAACUGCUUUUAUAAAGGAAAAACAACUCUCACGUGUGAGAGGAUGAAUGUACUUUAGGAAUAAGGAUCGGCUAACUCCGUGCCAGCCGCCGCCGUAACAC